rnacentral:tRNA from 1 species
GGACUGGGGCUCAGUGGUGGAGCGCUCACCUGGCAUGUGUGAGGCCCGGGUUCGAUCCUCAGCACCA